AAUCAAUUUUUUUUUCUUUCAAUAUUUUGCAGAAACUUAUUUUGGUUACUGUAGGAGUAAAAAAAAAAAACAAUUUAAUAUUGAAAAUUAAAUUUGCUACUUUUAGCUAAUUUGAAAAAUGCUGUAUUAUAUUAAUUAAUAUUUUAUUAAAACUCUAUAUUUAUAUACUUAUUGCAGACCUUGAAAAAGUUUUUUUCACAUAAUUUUGCAAUUAUUAAUUUCAUUAAAAAAAAAUAAAAUUGACUUUGAUUGCUUGAAUGGACAAAAGUAAAAGCACGAGAAAAGGAUCGCCAUUCACAAAGCAAAUUACGGUUUGAAGACUAUGAAUAGGUCCUCGUUGGUAAAUUGGCAAACAAUGAGGGUGUGUAUUGGAGCAGUUAGUUUGACGGAAGAAAAGGGCAGUUUGUUGAUUAAUGGUACAUUGGCUAUAUGUGAGCCCCCAUCGUCGUCAUCAUCAUCAUCAUCGUCAUGGAAUUCUCCUGUGUGAGAGGAGAUCUCUCGUGAUCAAGGAAGGAGAGAUGACAGAAUUUGAAGAAAAAAAUGCAAAUAUUGUUUAAAUUGAUGAUGUAAGAAAAGAAGGGAUUGCCUAUUGCGGAGGAUCAUCGUCCUGAGCAGUAAGAAACUUUUAGUGGAAACAUGCGGGUAUAAUUUUUGCUCGAGGGACACGUCAUCAUAUAUAUAUUCACUCACAAAUGUUGGGUUAAUUGAUUAAUUACUCGACUCGAAUCGCAACACGAAGGGAAAAAAAAAGAAAAAAAUGAUUUCUUACCUUAUAUAUACUUAAAAUGUAAUGUUGGAAGUAUCUAUGUGGCAGCUUACGUUGGAAUGGAUGUCAUUGGAAAUUCACUCUUCUGAAUGUACAGAGUACAGAAGAUUCACACAUGCACAGGUGUUUUUCUGAGAUCACGUGUGCCAUAUGUUUCUUGUGCUACAUUGGUCUUUAUUACAUGAAUUUGUCUCCUCACUUUAUUUCGGUAUUUAUUUAUAAAUUAAUAGUUUUUUUUUUUAAAUUUUAGUCAUACUUUAAUUUUCUUAUAUAUAUUUGAUCAAUUUAAACUACAUCACAUUAUCUUUAUCCUUUGGAAUUGUCAAA